rnacentral:sRNA from 1 species
UGUUUGACAUACUGCGUCUUUUGCACAGCUGAUUGAUAAAAGAUUGGAACAGGAGGGGAGCAGGUCAACAUCUCAAGUAUGACUUUGACCUAUUCUAGUUGGCAGUAUGUUUUUCAAGAAAUAGUCCAAACUUUAAUAAGAAUUAAUAGUACAAAUAUUGUUCAAAGAAAAAUGCUGGUAAUAAAGUUUUGUGGGUUUUUUAUUAUUGUCAGAGGUUUAGGAGCCAAAAUGGUUUACGCCAAAACAAGGCUGGCUGAAGCUGAUUCGACCCAUUGCUCCAAUUGGGCACCCUGCCUGGCAGGAGCCCUGCAAUGUACAUAACAUAUCACUGUCAGCCAUGGCUCUUGUCACCAGCUUAAAGGAUAACAUAUUUAGUGUACGAUUGAUGCAACUUUUAUUAACUCGCUGAUGCCUAUUGUAUUUGAGUUGCUUCCUAUACAUAUGUUGGUAUAAUGAUCUAAUUAACACUAAAUGCUUUUUUUUUUUAAUUUGCUCCAAAACAGCUGUGUUAAAAUGCCACAUAACACUGAAUAAGCACAUCUAGGUAUUUUAAACAUUCUGGUUUCGCAUCUAGGUAUUUUAAACAUUCUGGUUUCACAUCUAGGUAUUUAAACAUUCUGGUUUCACAUCUAGGUAUUUAAACAUUCUGGUUUCACAUCUAGGUAUUUUAAACAUUCUGGUUUCACAUCUAGGUAUUUAAACAUUCUGGUUUCACAUCUAGGUAUUUUAAACAUUCUGGUUUCACAUCUAGUUGUAAUAUUAAUUCUAUUCACAUUCAUUAAGUUUACUUGAUGUCCCAAAUCUUAAAUUUAGCCCCAUAUUAAUACAGUACUGUAGCAAUAAACCAGACAAUUCUCUUAUUUAUGAUAAUUUAAUUAAUUUAUUUUAGGGUGGUUUCUUUUGCUGUUUUGUUAAAUAUCAAACUAGACAGUUCUUGUCUAGAUAUUGUUUGUGAUAUUUUAAAUAAUAGGAAUAACUGAGAAGUGAAUAUCAGUUUAAGGAUUUGUAAUUAACCAAGCAGGAAGAUAGUAAAGAUUAAAAUGUAAAUAUUUUGAUUUUGAAUGAGUAUUAGCUUCUUCUGUCAUUAUUUUGUUCCUAUUUAUUUCAUAUUGAUGCAAAUAUUUAUUGAUCAAAAUACUGUAUAAGCUUAUUAUUGUUGGACUGUCAUUCCAGAUAUUUGUAUAUUUUGUGCAAUAUUGAAAUGUACAAACUUUUCAACCAAAGUGUUAUUUAAUUCCAGAAAAAUAAUUUAAAAUCCAACAUAAUCUGUGAUAGUAAAGCUUGGAUUUGGAUCGUAAGUUACUUUGUCAACUGGAAUUUUUAAUAGAAUAAUUUGCUAUCAUCUUGAUCAGUGUUUCCCAAACUGUGUCCUGCAGAACCUUAUGUGUUCCACUAGUAGGUGUUCCAUGAAAUACUGGAGUAGUUAAAUAGUAGGCCACCACGUGAAUUCAUCUCUCUAAAAAAAAUUAAGCAAAGUGUUGCCCUAAAUACUCAGAAUGUGGGAAGUGCUCCAUCGAGGAGAAAGUUUGGGAACCACUGGUCCUGUCUUUUGAAUCAAUGUAAUAUGUUACUAUGUGAGGUUACUUGAGGAGUAAUUACAUAAGGUGAACAAUGUCAACCAACUUGUUUGAUUUUCUUGCUUGUUAUUGUUUUAUGAUAGGAACUAUUGUUAUAACUUUUGUAUCAAGCCUGAAUAUAUUCAUGUUUUCUACUAAAACUCAUCAGUCAAGGGAUGUAAUGCUUGUGCUACAAAGAGAAACAGAGUUGUCCUUUCA